GACGAACGCUGGCGGCGUGCCUAACACAUGCAAGUCGAACGGAGAAUUAGCAAUAAUUCUUAGUGGCGAACGGGUGAGUAACGCGUAGACAACCUACCCUUUAGAUGGGGACAACACCGCGAAAGUGGUGCUAAUACCGAAUAUUGCUUGAGAAGCGCAUGCUUUUCAAACUAAAGAUGGCCUCUAUUUAUAAGCUAUCGCUAAAGAAUGGGUCUGCGUCUGAUUAGCUAGUUGGUGAGAUAAAAGCUCACCAAGGCAACGAGCAGUAGCCGGUCUGAGAGGAUGAACGGCCACUCUGGGACUGAGACACGGCCCAGACUCCUACGGGAGGCAGCAGUGGGGAAUCUUCCGCAAUGGACGAAAGUCUGACGGAGCAACGCCGCGUGAGUGAGGAAGGCCUUCGGGUCGUAAAGCUCUGUUGCCCUAGACGAACGCCUCUUGGAGUAACUGCCAAGAGGGUGACGGUAUAGGAGAAGAAAGCCCCGGCUAACUACGUGCCAGCCGCCGCUGUAA
rnacentral:rRNA from 1 species